GAUGAACGCUAGCGGCAGGCUUAAUACAUGCAAGUCGAGGGGUAGCAAGAUUUUAGCAAUACAAUUGUUGACGACCGGCAAACGGGUGCGGAACACGUACACAACCUUCCUACAAGUGGGGAAUAGCCCAGAGAAAUUUGGAUUAAUACCCCGUAACAUAGCGAUGUGGCAUCACAUUGCUAUUAUAACUUCGGCGCUUGUUGAUGGGUGUGCGGCUGAUUAGAUAGUUGGCGGGGUAACGGCCCACCAAGUCUACGAUCAGUAGCUGAUGUGAGAGCAUGAUCAGCCACACGGGCACUGAGACACGGGCCCGACUCCUACGGGAGGCAGCAGUAAGGAAUAUUGGACAAUGGACGCAAGUCUGAUCCAGCCAUGCCGCGUGAAGGAUUAAGGUCCUCUGGAUUGUAAACUUCUUUUAUAAGGGACGAAAAAAGGUCUUUCUAGAUCGUCUGACGGUACCUUAUGAAUAAGCACCGGCUAACUCCGUGCCAGCCGCCGCCGUAAAAC
rnacentral:rRNA from 1 species